rnacentral:rRNA from 1 species
GACGAACGCUGGCGGCGUGCUUAACACAUGCAAGUCGAACGGAAAGGCCCUGCUUUUGUGGGGUGCUCGAGUGGCGAACGGGUGAGUAACACGUGAGUAACCUGCCCUUGACUUUGGGAUAACUUCAGGAAACUGGGGCUAAUACCGGAUAGGAGCUCCUGCUGCAUGGUGGGGGUUGGAAAGUUUCGGCGGUUGGGGAUGGACUCGCGGCUUAUCAGCUUGUUGGUGGGGUAGUGGCUUACCAAGGCUUUGACGGGUAGCCGGCCUGAGGGGGUGACCGGCCACAUUGGGACUGAGAUACGGCCCAGACUCCUACGGGAGGCAGCAGUGGGGAAUAUUGCACAAUGGGCGGAAGCCUGAUGCAGCAACGCCGCGUGCGGGAUGACGGCCUUCGGGUUGUAAACCGCUUUCGCCUGUGACGAAGCGUGAGUGACGGUAAUGGGUAAAGAGGCACCGGCUAACUACGUG